rnacentral:rRNA from 1 species
AUUGAACGCUGGCGGCAGGCCUAACACAUGCAAGUCGAACGAGUGGCGGACGGGAGAGUAAUGUCUGGGAAACUGCCUGAUGGAGGGGGAUAACUACUGGAAACGGUAGCUAAUAACGCAUACCAUCGGAUGUGCCCAGAUGGGAUUAGCUUGUUGGUGGGGUAACGGAACACCAAGGCGACGAUCCGUAACUGGUCUGAGAGGAUGACCAGCCACACUGGAACUGAGACACGGUCCAGACUCCUACGGGAGGCAGCAGUGGGGAAUAUUGGACAAUGGGCGCAAGCCUGAUGCAGCCAUGCCGCGUGUAUGAAGAAGGCCUUCGGGUUGUAAAGCACUUUCAGCGGGGAGGCGUUACCGACAGAAGAAGCACCGGCUAACUCCGUGCCAGCAGCCGCGGUAAUAC